rnacentral:rRNA from 1 species
AAGCGCUUGCCCCCAGACUUAUUUGCGGUGUUCCGCCGGGCUUCUGCCCGGUCUACUCGCCGUACAUAGGCCAGCAUCGUCUGGGACCGCCGGAGAAAGGCGUUAGGAAUGUAGCUCCUCGGAGUAUUAUAGCCCAUCGCACAAUACGGCGCGCCCCGGGCGAGGUCCGCGCUUCGGCUAGGAUGCUGGCGUAAUGGGUGUAAGCGG